rnacentral:lncRNA from 10 species
UAGAAGCCAGCUGCUGGGAGACUGAAAAGUGAAAGUAAAUUUAGGUCCUUCACCUGAACCUGGUGGUGGGUCAAACGCUUCCACAUGGACACCUGUCAGUCCCACUGGAGUGUAGGUCUGGCCAGAGACCUUUAGUUGUCUCUGUGCUCAGAUGUUGGCCACCAAGGAUCACAAGUUGGGAAAGAGAAUGGAGAGGAUUCCCUGUAAGGAGAGAGAGUCCUUAUAUGGGCCACCAAAAUGUCAUGGACUUUCUUGCAAAAAUGCCUGUUUGGGAUUCCUCAGAGUACAGACAAAAAGGAAGGCUUGAUCAGCAUGUGGUGGAUCUGAAGAUUCAAAGAGGUGCCACAGCUCAAAAGUAGACAUUUUGGCAAAUGUGAAGAAGUGAGAUUCAAUGAAGAUGAUAAGAAAUGAAAGGUGUUACCAAAAGGGGUUGUCUGCUUAUGAGCUGCACCACCGAGCAGCAUGCCUAUCAGCGAGAAGGUGCCUGACAAUUCUCAGUUGAAAUGUCCUGACCAAGUUCCCCCAGAAAUUUAUGACUAAUAACAAAAGGGAAAAGCUACCCUCACAAGGAGAUGUCCAGUUGACACUAUCUCAACCAAAAUUAUUAAACAUAGCAUCAGCAAUCGUGGGACAAACAGACGCAAACAUCUCCUGGUGUGAGGCGCAUCAAGGAAAACAAUCUACAAGAAACAAAAUGGUGAGAAAAAGCAGCACACUCACGUCUCUGAAGAGCACAGCAUAAGGCUACAAAAAGGACCAAGCACCUUCUCAACCUGCAAUGUGCUCAGUGUCUGUAAAUCACAAGUUAGGUGAUGAAGGGCUGGUAGUUUCCCAUGAAUUAAUAACUUUCCUUCUUGCCCCCGUGUUAUCUCCCUCACCUGACCCCCGCCAAUAAAACAUCCUUAAAAGGCUCCUCUCAAAUUCCUUGCAAAUAUUAGGCUCCUCUCAAAUUGCUUGCACAUGCU